rnacentral:rRNA from 1 species
CAGCCGCCACGGUAACACGAAGGGGGCUAGCGUUGUUCGGAAUUACUGGGCGUAAAGGGCGCGUAGGCGGCCAUUCAAGUUAGAUGUGAAAGCCCUGGGCUCAACCUAGGAAUUGCAUUUGAUACUGUUUGGCUUGAGUUCGGGAGAGGUGAGUGGAAUUCCCAGUGUAGAGGUGAAAUUCGUAGAUAUUGGGAAGAACACCAGUGGCGAAGGCGGCUCACUGGACCGACACUGACGCUGAGGCGCGAAAGCGUGGGGGGCAAACAGGAUUAGAGACCCGUGUAGUCCCUGUCUCUUAUAC